GAUAUGGCUAAGAUUGGUUUUAGUAGUGGUGAUCUCCCUUUUAUAGAGAGCUGAUGGUUGGUGGAAAUCAGCAUAAAGAUUAUCCAUGAAUUACGUCCAUGAGCUUCUUUUUUGAAAGGGAAUCCUGAGUAGAAAAAGACGGUUAAACCGUUAAAGAACCGAGUGAGGAUUAGUAAUGACACAAUCCUAAGUAGGGUGGUACCGCGAAACUUUCGCCCCUUCA
rnacentral:ncRNA from 1 species